CGCCCUUCCUCCGUGCGCGCACCGGCCGGUCACCACGACCCUGUGCUUCACUUUUUAUCAUCUCUAUGCCGUCGUUGCUGCUCUAUUGCGGUGAGGUCGUCGCCGCUCUCCUCGAGAUCGCCGCAUUUGCCAACGAGGAAGCCGGGGUGAUUGACGUCAGCCGCCUCCACCUUCUCCCCUUUCAUCUCUGUGUCACCACCCUUCCCCUCUCCAUCUUCCCCCGUCCAUGCGGUGCUAGAUCUGGUAGGGGGUGGUCAGAUCUGGUGACCUUCGGUCUCCUCGCUGAUGGAUUUGGUCCAUCAGAAGCGAUGAGUGCAAGCGCCCACCAUUGUCCUCUUCCAUUCCUCUUCUCACCACUGCCUUCUCUAUCCUCUUGCUCUCCCUCUCCUCCCUGCUUGGUGCCAGAUCUGGGAUAUAGGAGAGGUAGGGCGGACUGUUGGUUAGGAGGUCAGGGAUAGGAAGGGAGGGCGAGUGUGGCAACUCAGUCAGGAUAGCGACAAUGACGAACACGCCUCGGUGACAACGAUGGCAAGCCACAACGACAAGGAUGGAGCGUCUCAAUGAUGACUGCAACAGAAGCUCGGUCGAUCGUUAUCUCCUUUUUCCUGAUAUUUUUGUCUUAUUUUUUCUUAUGGAACGAUGACUGGUUAUUUUCUGGAUUGUUCAUGAUUCUUAACAAUAUGAAGAGAUGAGUGUCAGUUUUGACUUUAGAUGUAUGCAACUCAUUAAUUGCUCAUGAUCCCUCUACAUGUUUGACUAAGCUUCUACACUGCAUUGCAGAAUAUAACAAACCCAUUCACAAUUUUCAUAUGCUAAAACAUGCAGCGGUCCACGUAUAUGAUAGGCCUCUUCAUAUUAUCUUGCUUUUCCAUGUGGCCUUAGAAAUAAUCAAAUCCUCACCGAAUGUCAACAAGAAGCACACGAAUGAGGUUACGUGUAGUAUAGCAUGGAAGCAUGCUCCUUGCUCUGCUAUGAUCAAGUUUGUACAUUUUGCUUUGUUAUUGUUAGAAAGAGGUACAUAAUACCUGCAUCAGGAGCAGGAUUUCUCUUGAAUGAAACCUGUUAUUUUCUUUGCAAAGAUCCAUCAAAAAGACAAUAAAGGCUAACUCAUAUUACUUCUUUUGGAAAAAGAAUGUAUUUGAUUUGUCUACAUUUAUACGAGAGAGUUCAACUAUAUUUUCUCCUCUACGCUAACUGUAUCAUCUGGUGUCCUAAGUAUCAAAUGUCUUAGGUGUUAGUACUACAUGUUGGUAACCGAGAAUUAUCUAAACCUUAUUCUGUUCGCCUAUGAAUUUAUAUGGCGCUGUUGAGCAUGUAAUUUUGCUUGGAGUUCUUUUGGGUUUCAAGUUAGUCCUAUGAAACAAAGUUUUGCCAUCAUGUACAAAAUUUCUUGAUAUAUUCUUACAAGUCGUUGUUUGUGUUGUGGAGCCAUUUCUGUGGUUGUCAUAUG